CUAAGGCAAAAGGAUCACAGAUGCUGCUUGGGGCCAGCCCCGUACUCCCGCCAGUGCCUGGUCUCCCGUGGGCCCGCGGGGCUCUGCAGUUCGCUGGCGGCCGAGCCUUGUGAGCGCUAAGCCGGGAGGAGGGCGCAGUCAGGGCGCACAGCUCUGAGCGCGCCCCUACCCGGCUCGGGCCCGCAGCAGCCCGGACUGUCCGAGAGCCUCCCCGCAAGCAAGGCUGUGCGCCUCCCUCUGAGCGCACCUCCUGGCCACAACGCCGCCUGCGCUUCUCCAGCCCAGGCCGGAAGCCCUAUGCUGCCUUCCGAAGCCGGACUUUCUGGAAGCCCACCUCCAUAUGCUCACCAGCCCACCCUCCUACGCUGGUCAGAGUGAGAUUGCUAACCUCAAGACCCCAUUCAAUGCCAGCUUUCAACUACUGCUGAAGACCAAUGUAGGUCCCAGGAUAGAAGAACCGCAGAGUAUCCGGAGCUGGCCGACCCCAGACUGAUUCUCAACAGGUGGCUGGUGAUUGGAAGAGAAUCACCAAGCUGAGGAGGAAGCGAGGAUCCUGAAAGAAUUUCUAGAAGCUCCGUCCGAGCCCAAAUCACACAGGCUCUAAGUACUGGUCAAUAACCAGGAGUGAAACAGAAACCUAGGCCACACACUCAAGUCCCUCAAGUGUCUGAAUGAGGGGCUAGAGCGCUAGGCCAUGAGUGGCCACUAUGGACGCUGCAUCAUGGAGUCCUGUCUGGUCCCUCCUUCAACCCCCCCCCCCCCCUGCUUCAGACUGCAAGGAGAUCUAGAUUAGAAGAAGCUGGGGCGUUUGGAACCGGAAGAGGCAGCAUGUUGGUCAGGAAGAACCCAGAACACCUGCCUCAGACACAGCCAAUCUGUCCGAACACAAAAGGCAGGGACCCGCAGGGCUGAGGGGCUAUUAAGUCAAACCUGAAGUCACACUGAAGUCACAGCCCCAAUGUCCUCAGACAGUCCCCAACCCUCUGCAGCAAUGUGGACAUGUGUCAGUGUAGCUGAAAAGCUUCUCCUGUGAGCUUUAACAACUUUCUGGUGUAAGUUCUGAGAGGGCCGAUUGCUUAUUCAUGUGGAAGCAAGACGCCCAGUCCGCUUUGCCUGUUUUUGCUACUCUUUGUUGUCUCGUGUGGGGGGGAGUGUUAUGGUAGCUGCAAAUGGCUUCUCCAGUGACAUUUGCUGACAUUCAGUGAAGUACAUUUAUCAGCGCUCACGAGCUCACCUCCGCACAUGCAAUCCAUUUUGUUUUGUUCUUCAUGGUAACCUCCUUCCCAAC
rnacentral:lncRNA from 1 species